rnacentral:rRNA from 1 species
UACGUAGGGUGCGAGCGUUAAUCGGAAUUACUGGGCGUAAAGCGUGCGCAGGCGGUUGAUUAAGUCUGAUGUGAAAGCCCCGGGCUCAACCUGGGAAUGGCAUUGGAAACUGGUCGGCUUGAGUAUGGCAGAGGGGGGUGGAACUCCACGUGUAGCAGUGAAAUGCGUAGAGAUGUGGAAGAACACCGAUGGCGAAGGCAGCCCCCUGGGUCAAUACUGACGCUCAGGCACGAAAGCGUGGGGAGCAAACAGG